GACGAACGCUGGCGGCGUGCUUAACACAUGCAAGUCGAACGAGUUGCGAACGGGUGAGUAAUCCGUGGGUAACCUGCCCUCUUUUUGGGAUAAGCCUUGGAAACGGGGUCUAAUACCGAAUACAGGGGGAUGGGCUCGCGGCCUAUCAGCUUGUUGGUGGGGUGAUGGCCAACCAAGGCAACGAUCAGUAGCGGGUCGGAUGGGAUGAUCCUCGACACUGGGACUUAGAAACGGCCCAGACUCCAACGGGAGGCAGCAGGGGUGAAGUUUGGACAAUGGGCGCAAGCCUGAUCCAGCCAUGCCGCGUGUCUGAAGAAGGCCUUCGGGUUGUAAAGGACUUUUGUUAGGGAAGCGGUGUCGAAAGAAUAAGCACCGGCUGACUACGUGCCAGCAGCCGCGGUAAUAG
rnacentral:rRNA from 1 species